rnacentral:rRNA from 1 species
GUGCUAAUGGAUGAGCCUACGUCGGAUUAGCUAGUUGGUAGGGUAACGGCCUACCAAGGCGACGAUCCGUAGCUGGUCUGAGAGGACGAUCAGCCACACUGGGACUGAGACACGGCCCAG